rnacentral:misc_RNA from 1 species
GAGAAGAACGUAGCGAAAUGCGAUAAGUAAUGUGAAUUGCAGAAUUCAGUGAAUCAUCGAAUCUUUGAACGCACAUUGCGCCCGCCAGUAUUCUGGCGGGCACGCCUGUUCGAGCGUCAUUACAACCCUCAGGCCCCCGGGCCUGGCGUUGGGGAUCGGCAGAAGCCCCCUGUGGGCACACGCCGUCCCUCAAAUACAGUGGCGGUCCCGCCGCAGCUUCCAUUGCGUAGUAGCUAACACCUCGCAACUGGAGAGCGGCGCGGCCAUGCCGUAAAACACCCAACUUCUGAAUGUUGACCUCGAAUCAGGUAGGAAUACCCGCUGAACUUAAGCAUAUCAAUAAGCGGAGGA